CCGCCAACGCUCAACCACCUUCACACCAAUUGGCGUGAACCGUAGUUUUAUUACACCCCCCAGCUUUAUUAGAGAACCAAAUAAUAAAUAAAUUUAUACAGCAGUAGAUAGAAUAAAUUGAAAGGGGCAAACAUUACACAACGCAUGUGCAAAUCUUCGAACACCAAAAAUACAAAAAAUAUAAAUUUCGUAAGGUAACAAAAGAAGAAAAUUAACAACUCAUACAUAAAAAAGCCUGUUGAGGUCCUAUCCAUCACAGCAUAUCAUCUAUUUUUUUAAAUUUUUUAUUCCACCCUAGUUGUUUAAAAAAAUAUUAUAAUUAUACUCUUCUUUUUUUUUUUUUUUUCUCCAAAGAAGAGAUUUAAUUAGUUCGUGAUAUAGACCAUACAAUUUAGCUGCUGCAGACAUGAAACACCUCUUACCCAGCAAUUCAAGUAUGGAAGUAUUUAAUUGGUCCGGUCUACAGAUGACGUGCUAGACGCGGUCCACGAAAUAACGCGACCAAAAUCCGCCAAAGAACGAACGUACGUACUCAGCACAAAAACACUGGGCCCCACUAAAACAGUGACAGAGCGUCUCCCCGGCGUUUAUUCCCGUUUACGCUCUGUUCCUGCUGUACCCGUACCUGUUCCCGU
rnacentral:lncRNA from 1 species